GCGCUUGCUUUGGCAGCACAUACACUAAAAUUGGAACAAUAUAGAGAAGAUUAGCAUGGCCCCUGGGCAAGGGUGACACACAAAUUCGUGAAGCAUUCCAUAGUUUU
rnacentral:snRNA from 1 species